CACACAGUAAAAGACACACACACAGUAAAAGGCACACACCUUUUGACCCAGCAAUUCCUUCUCUCAAAAUCUAUCCUACAGAAAUACUUACACACUGGAGCAAGGUUAUAUGUAGCAUUAUUUAUAAUAGUGAAUGAUUGGAGACAAAUUUGCAUCAAUAGGUGAAUCAUUAAAUUGUGAUACAACCAUACCAUGAAAUGUUAUGCAGUCAUUUUUUAAAUGAGGUAAAUUUCCAUGUAUUAAUGCAAGAGGAGGUCCAGAAUACAAUGCAAAGUGAAAAAAGUUGCAAAACAGUACAUAUAAUAUCCCAUUUCAUUUAAAAAAAACCUAUAUACAAAUGUGUGGGUAUUCAUAUAUGUAUAUAUGUGUAUAUUAAUAUAUAAACACAAACAGAACAACAUCUGGGAAGACACACACCAAAUUAAGUUAUUCUUGGAGAAUGGGAGUGGUGAGAGGGACUAAGGAAAAAUCUUUCACUUUUUACUUUACACAUUUAUGUUUUGCUUGAAUUUUGUUGGCUAACAUUAAUAAUUUUUGAAUUUUUAUCACAAUAAAACAUUUUAACAAAAUAGGCACUUUUGUAAUCAGAUCAAUAGAGUUAUAAUGUAUGUGUUUUAAAUAAAAAUAGCUCCAUGGGGGCUGGGCGUAGUGGCUCACACCUGUAAUCAAUCCCAGCACUUUGGGAGGUCGAGGUGGGCAGAUCAUACGGUCAGGAGUUUGAGACCAGCCUGGCCAAUAUGGUGAAACCCCGCUUCUACUAAAAAUACAAAAAUUAGCCGGGCGUGGUGGCAUGCCCCUGUAGUCCCAGCUACUCUGGAGGCUGAGGCAGGAGAAUCGCUUGAACCUGGGAGGCACAGGUUGCAGUGAGCCAAGAUCACACCACUGCACUCUGGCCUGAGCGACAGAGCAAGAUUCCCUCUCAAAAAAUAAAUAAAUAACGCCAUGGGGUGACUACUUCAUUUUAAAAUUUUAGCUAGAAGACUUAGGAUACAAUUAGAACAACUGUAAACCAAAUCAACUCUGAGUUUCAAUGGGGGUAUACUCAUGACUUGAUAUAACAGGAUGUGGGCAAACAAAAUCUAAUCAGGAUAAUCGUUCAUUUCUGAAAGAGAAAACUACACUACAGCAAACUCCAUCAUAUAAAGGAAAAAUUGUGCUUUCACUUUUUUGGUGGCAUCACCUCCAAUGUUUACUCAACUCCUUGGCAAGGGUGGGAAAUCAUAAAAAGCUAGAGAUUUAAGAUACCUCAGAGAUCAUUUGGUCAAAAUCCCUCAUUUAGUCGAAAUCCCUCAUUGUAUAGUUCAGAAAACAGGCCUAAAAUGGUGAAGCAAUUCAACUAAGGUCCUAUAGCUAGCUAUAUAGCCAAUUUUAGAAGUCAGGUUUCUAUUCCAGGUCUGGUACUCUUUCUGUUUCUUUUCAGAUCUUCCUGAGUCUUCAGUAUGAUGAAAUUAUGAAAUAUUUUUAAAUUUUAUGAUUAGACAUCCCUAUAUUUAAAUGUUACAACAAAAAUGCCUAACAAAAUUAAAAUGUACAUGCCUCCAUUAGUACAGAUGAUGAAAAGUUCACUGUAUCUAGACAAAAAAUAUUAUUGGUAUAACAUUCUCUUGAAAAGUAAUACAUAAAUCAGGCCAGGUACAGUGGCUUACGCCUGUAAUCCCAGCACUUUGGGAGGCCGAGGCAGGCAGAUCACUUGAGCUCAGGAGUUCGAAACCAGCCUGGCCAACGUGGUGAAACCCCGUCUCUACUAAAAAUACAAAAAUUAGCCGGGUAUGGUGGUGCCACGCUUGUAGUCCCAGCUACUCGGGAAGCUGAGGCAGGAGGAUCGCUUGAACCUGGGAGGCAGAGAUUGCAGUGAGCUGAGAUCACGCCACUGCACUCCAGCCUGGACAACACUGUGAGACUCCAUCUCAAAAAAUAUAUAUAUACAUAUUUUUUUUCUGUGAAUCUGAAUGUAUUUUACUGUUUACCUAAGAACUACUGUUUUAUCCCAAUUUCUAACUGUUCUUCAACUGGCACUGCCUCUUAACCCUUUAUCUUUAGUUUCUUUAUAUCAAGCAGUUGAUGACCUAUAUAAAAACACUUAAAACCACCACAGGAAACACCUAUUUAAAGGAAGCCUGCAGUGAUUUAAAGAAUUCUUUUUUGAUGUUGACAAUUAUCCCUGGUUUGUCUGUUUUAUAAGGAAUGAGUUCUCUGUUUUUAAAUGCAUAGACAGACAGGGUAUGGACAGAAGAAAUAAAAUAGGCAACAACUGGUUUUUGUACAAACAAGGUAAAAAAAGAAGAUAAGAAUGAGGGGUGGUGGGUGGUCAGGAAGGGAGUGGCAGAGAACCACAUGCUAAAUUAGUCACUAAGACUUUAUAUUUCAAAAGUAAACUCAAAUACUAAGAUAUAUAAAUGGAAUAACAACUACCUAACCUUCAGGCUGUAAUUAAAGUGUUGUCCAAUUUAAGACUCUACAACUUGAGGACAUGUGAGGGCCUUGGAGAGAUUUCAGAAUAAUAAAAAGAUAAAAGGGUUAAAAAUGAGCCAAGUAAGGAAAAAUUAGAACUUAUUAUAUCUAAGAAGAGAAUACUAAGGGUGACUCAACAGUUUUCAAGGAUAUGAAGAAAUAUCCAUUUCAGUGAGCAGCUGUUCUACAUUUCCACAAAAGAAAGUAAUUUUACUUAAAUUAUUACAGCAUAUAUUUCAACAUAGAAGUAGGAAUAUCUUCAACAUAGAAGUAUCUCAUGUAGGAUAACUAUCAACUCCAGAGAAGCCUGAAUGUUAUCCACCUCUCCCACCUUUACUGGCUUAAUUCCUUGUCUCAAAGAAUGGGUCAAAGGGUAGAUAAGGCAUCUUUGGAAUGUGAAGAUUUAGACUUCUUUUGGGUCUAGCUAUGUUCAAAAUUUUUCGUUAGCCUCUGUCCCCCAGGUUCCAGCAUAAGGUUAAGCCCUUUCUGCACUAUAGAUAAAGGGGAUUAAUUAGUGGUAAACAUGCAAAUACCCAUGUAAAUUAGAAUUCCUUAUCAAAGAAAAGUAUGCUUCUCCUCAGUGUUAAUGGGUAAGAGGGUUUGGAUUUAGGAUUCUUGCCUGGCCCAGUUAAUGUGCCAAAAUGGCCAAUUUGACAUCCAAGGGAGAUUUACCUGGCCUGAUAUUUUUAAAAAAGAAAAAGACUGGACAACUAACCAGAUGUGCCUGAAUCUCUUACUCUGUCUCUAGCAUUUUCCUGCCUUGUAUAGACAUCUCUUCAUUUUGUUUUGAGGCUGGAGUGCAGUGGUACAAUCAUGGCUCACUGCAUGGCUCACUCCACAACCUCCUGGGCUCAAGCAAUCCUCCGGCUUCAGCCUCCCAAGUAGCUGGGACUAUCAUGUGCCACCAUACCUGGCCAGAUUUUUAAUUUUUUUUUUUUUUUUUUUUUGUAGAGAUGAGAUCUCACUCGGUUGCCCAGGCUAGUCUCCAACUCCUGGGCUCAAGCAAUCCUCCCAAAGUGCUGGGAUUACAGGCAUAAGCCACCACGCCCAGCUAAACAUCUCUUCAACUGAACUCUUAAGGUCUACGAAAAAAGAGAAUGUAAUAUCAUAUUUUACUUGUACCACAACCACUCCACCCUAUCCCCAGCCCUGCUGUUAGCAUAGGACCAGACACACAGAAGACUAUUAGCACUUGUUAAAUGAGUUGUCAUCUGUCCAAAUUUUUGUUAACACUUUAUUUUAUAGCUGCUUUUCUAUUUAUUCUGCAGUUCAUUCUCUAACACUGCUGCCUAUGAAGGUUGCAUCUCUCUUUACCCUUCCUUUCCUUUAUUUCACAGAAAUACCCAUUCUUCCCUAUCCCCUCAGAUAUUUUUAGUCAUCUCAUUCAUGAACUACCAAAAACCUCAACUUCCUCACAGCCCCCACUCUUCUACUUAGAACCAAAUACUGCUAAGUAACAUUAAUUUCCUUUUUUUUUUUCUUUUGAAAUUUUUUGUAGAGACAGUGUCUCACUCUGUUGCCCAGGCUAGUCUCAACCUCCUGGGCUCAAGCAAUCCUCCUGCCUCAGCCUCCCAAAAUGCUGGGAUUACAGGCAUGAGCCAACCACAUUCAGCCUUAAUUUGCUAAUGUUUUGAACACAUCACUUUCUGUACCUUCUUUCCAUGUUGAGCUACAUCAAAACUAGCUUUGAUUUUCUAAAUGACAAGACUGCUACCUCCCCUCAUUCCAACCCUUGCCAAAACCCACUCUGUGUAGGGAAACCAUUUCAGAGCUCACUGGUCAGAUGAAUAUCCACCCACCAAAAGUUCUGAGAGUUCACCCACCUUUCUGCCUGUGUCAAAUUUAUUUGGGAAAAAAAACAGUGUCAGUUGAGAUAAAAAGCCUAUAGAAGAAAUGUUUGUUGGUGUUGUGUGGGUGUGUCAGAGGAUGAACACAUGCAUGUGUGUUUAUGUACAUGUAUUACAUAUGCAGACACACACAUACACACAUACACACACACAUAUAUAAUAAAUAUAUUCUGCCCAAAUUAGCACAAACCCACAAGCUUAAAAACCAAAUCUGCUAAAUCUGACUCAAACAACAGGUACUGAGCCUACAGCUACUUCCUGCAAGCAGAUGCAUUACCUCUGUGACAAAGUCAGUUGUGAGUUGCAAAAAGGAUAGGUAAAUAUCAUUAAGAUAAGUUAAGAUUCUGCUUUCUAAAAAAAUUUAAAUGCAAAACAUUACCUCAGGACACUGGCCACACUGUAUGAUUUCUGCAUAAUACCCAGCAUAUCCUAGACACUAAAGAAUACUAAAUUUACAACUUAAGCAGGAAAACAGAGGCUUGCUUCACAGUGGUUUAAUAUGAACAGAGUUGAAUAUGACAUUGUCUGACAGAAGAAUGAACAGUUUGCUGAAUAAAAGCCCCGAGUCAGGAUAUAUAUACACAGCAGAAAUGGGGCCUCAGACUCUCAGCACUUGUGCACAAUGAAAGAGGAAAUCGUUUUUAAAAAAUGUCUAUAACAGAGGAUACAAAUCAAAAAGGCAGCUAGAGUGGGAGCCACAAAGGGAGAGGGGCUAGGCAAUAGGAGCUCCCCUACUGCCC
rnacentral:lncRNA from 10 species